UACGAAGGGGGCUAGCGUUGCUCGGAAUCACUGGGCGUAAAGGGUGCGUAGGCGGGUCUUUAAGUCAGGGGUGAAAUCCUGGAGCUCAACUCCAGAACUGCCUUUGAUACUGAAUAUCUUGAGUUCGGGAGAGGUGAGUGGAACUGCGAGUGUAGAGGUGAAAUUCGUAGAUAUUCGCAAGAACACCAGUGGCGAAGGCGGCUCACUGGCCCGAUACUGACGCUGAGGCACGAAAGCGUGGGGAGCAAACAGG
rnacentral:rRNA from 1 species